rnacentral:lncRNA from 1 species
AAAGUCUCUCUCGGGUUCGUUCUAGGGCACCGUCGGAAACCCUAAGGAUUUGGGCGGUGUGCGGUGAUCGACUCUAGUAGCUAGAUUGCGACGAGUAAGAACAACGUGCAACAAAUUGAAAUAGGUAUUUGGCAGAUUAACGAGUUCAUAAAACAAGACGAGGUCUAAUCCUGGUAAUUGUAAUAUAUUCCGCAGUGAAAGAGGUAUGUAAAAAUCUAUAUGAUUUUUGUGAUUUAUUUUGGGUAUUAGUUUAUCCAACAGUGGUAUCAGAGCGGCGUAGUGCUUGUUUUCGCUCGAUGAUCUAUUUUUUUUUUUUAUAUCGAAUAGAUUUUUAAUUGUUGUUUUUUAAACAACAAAUUUGCAUUGAUUCGUAUAAGAGAAAAAAAAUAAUAAUAAUAACCGGCAAAAUUUUUGAGUCGCAAUUGGUAGACUACACCGGGUUUAGAAGUGCAUGAUAGACCAUCUAGCCCGUGAGCUCGACUAGAUUAGGCCCGCUGUGUGUUGGGACCGCAUGCAAGUUUGACCAGCAUACCAGGCCUACGGUGCCCACCCAUGAUGGACUUGCAGGGCUCGCUCGCAAUGGGCCUGCGAGGGCCUUCCCUAAUUGGGCCCUAACGCGUUGGUAGGCCCAAUGCCUUGGGCCGCGGAUGAGCGCAGGCUGCAUUGUGGGCCAAUUGCAGCUCGCAAGCCUAAUUCCGUAAUUCGUGGUCUUGAGUUAUGUUCGAUGUGAGACUUGAACCCACAGCCUUAGCAUAAGGCUUACUUCCUCUAACCAUCCAGACCAAUAUUUAAUUGUGCAAAAUUAUG